CUCUGAAUAGCAACAAAUGGUCGUUACAACCAUUACAAAAAAGAGCCAAAACCAGAAAAGAUCUAUUACAUUAUAAAUUAACUGUUUUCGACGAAUCAAUGAAAUAAUAUAGAUAUGAAUCCAAAACUUCCACUACAAGGGAGUACAGUAUCCAAAAGAAAUGCAUGAAAAUUCUUAAAUUUCUGGUUCCAAAAUUACAAGCUAUAGCAGAGCUCAUAACCCAAGAAUAGUUGUCCUCCAAGGAUAUGAGCACUACAUCAUCAGUUCGUCACCGUGCACAACACUUCUUAUCUCGGCCAAGCAAACCGAUGCAAAGAUUAUAUAUUCAAAUCUGCAACACAUAAUCUCGUAGCUCAGUCGAAGACAUCAAGUGCAUGUACAAUUGAUAAUAGAAAAUAACAUAAUUGAUGCAAAGAUUACAUAUGGAUUUCAUUUUGAUAAGAAAAGAUUUGAAGUUAAUUAUUACGAGAUCACAAUAACAAACACAUUCAGCUUGUUUGGAUGGAAUUCACUUUGAAAUGAAAUUCAAAUCGUUAGCUCUCGUUUUGAAUCAAUUUACAAGUAAUUUGGCUUCGUUCGUGAAAAGGUGAAAGAAGCCAUACCUUUCUCCUUUGAUGAUUGUCAUCGAGAACGUGUUUGCUGCUACAUUAUCACCUUAUGUUACGAUUUU
rnacentral:lncRNA from 1 species